AAGGAUUUAAGUUAAAUAAACUUUUAACCUUCAAAGUUAAAAAUGAAGAUUAAAUUCUUUAAGCCUUA
rnacentral:tRNA from 1 species